UACAGAGGUCUCAAGCGUUGUUCGGAUUCAUUGGGCGUAAAGGGUGCGUAGGUGGCGCCGUAAGUCAGGUGUGAAAUUUCGGAGCUUAACUCCGAAACUGCAUUUGAUACUGCGGUGCUUGAGGACUGGAGAGGAGACUGGAAUUCACGGUGUAGCAGUGAAAUGCGUAGAUAUCGUGAGGAAGACCAGUGGCGAAGGCGGGUCUGCUGGACAGUUCCUGACACUGAGGCACGAAGGCCAGGGGAGCAAACGGG
rnacentral:rRNA from 1 species